GUCCAGGGAUGGGAAUCGAACUUCCGCUUACCGGGCAGAUGCCAUGUCCACUAGGCUACCCUGGA